AUUGAACGCUGGCGGCAGGCCUAACACAUGCAAGUCGAACGGUAACAGGAAGAAGCUUGCUUCUUUGCUGACGAGUGGCGGACGGGUGAGUAAUGUCUGGGAAACUGCCUGAUGGAGGGGGAUAACUACUGGAAACGGUAGCUAAUACCGCAUAACGUCGCAAGACCAAAGAGGGGGACCUUCGGGCCUCUUGCCAUCGGAUGUGCCCAGAUGGGAUUAGCUAGUAGGUGGGGUAACGGCUCACCUAGGCGACGAUCCCUAGCUGGUCUGAGAGGAUGACCAGCCACACUGGAACUGAGACACGGUCCAGACUCCUACGGGAGGCAGCAGUGGGGAAUAUUGCACAAUGGGCGCAAGCCUGAUGCAGCCAUGCCGCGUGUAUGAAGAAGGCCUUCUGGUUGUAAAGUACUUUCAGCGGGGAGGAAGGGAGUAAAGUUAAUACCUUUGCUCAUUGACGUUACCCGCAGAAGAAGCACCGGCUAACUCCGUG
rnacentral:rRNA from 1 species